GCUGAAAUACAUCAGUUGGGAGAGCCUUAUUUUGAAGAUCUAAACGUCCCUGGUUCGAUCCCGGGUUUCGGCA